rnacentral:tRNA from 1 species
GUUGCUUUGGCAGAACUAUGCAUUGGACUUAGGAUCCAAUUAUGUGGGUACUAAUCCCAUAAGUAAUA